rnacentral:rRNA from 1 species
UAAGUAGAUAGUGAAAGCGUUCGGCUCAACCGAAUAUCCAUUAUCUAAACUGCUAAGCUAGAGAAUGAGAGAGGUAGAUGGAAUUUCCAGUGUAGGGGUGACAUCCGUAGAUAUUGGAAGGACACCGAUGGCGUAGGCAGUCUACUGGCUCAUUUCUGACACUAAGGCACGAAAGCGUGGGAGCGAACGGAUUAGAUACCCCGGUAGUCCACGCCGUAAACGAUGGAUGCUA